GCCUCGGUAGCGUAGUGGUCAAGAACUCAAGACGCUCGCCUGGUAAACAGGAGGGCGUGGGUUCGAUCCCAGCCGAGGCA
rfam:Asian citrus Psyllid, Diaphorina citri - Florida Strain, whole genome shotgun sequence.